GUCGGCGCGCCUAACACAUGCAAGUCGAACGAGAGAUGAGGAGCUUGCUCUUCAAAUCGAGUGGCGAACGGGUGAGUAACGCGUGAGGAACCUGCCUCAAAGAGGGGGACAACAGUUGGAAACGACUGCUAAUACCGCAUAAGCCCACGGCUCGGCAUCGAGCAGAGGGAAAAGGAGUGAUCCGCUUUGAGAUGGCCUCGCGUCCGAUUAGCUAGUUGGUGAGGUAACGGCCCACCAAGGCGACGAUCGGUAGCCGGACUGAGAGGUUGAACGGCCACAUUGGGACUGAGACACGGCCCAGACUCCUACGGGAGGCAGCAGUGGGGAAUAUUGCACAAUGGGGGAAACCCUGAUGCAGCGACGCCGCGUGGAGGAAGAAGGUCUUCGGAUUGUAAACUCCUGUUGUUGAGGAAGAUAAUGACGGUACUCAACAAGGAAGUGACGGCUAACUACGUGCCAGCAGCCGCGGUAAAACGUAGGUCACAAGCGUUGUCCGGAAUUACUGGGUGUAAAGGGAGCGCAGGCGGGAGAACAAGUUGGAAGUGAAAUCCAUGGGCUCAACCCAUGAACUGCUUUCAAAACUGUUUUUCUUGAGUAGUGCAGAGGUAGGCGGAAUUCCCGGUGUAGCGGUGGAAUGCGUAGAUAUCGGGAGGAACACCAGUGGCGAAGGCGGCCUACUGGGCACCAACUGACGCUGAGGUUCGAAAGUGUGGGUAGCAAACAGGAUUAGAUACCCUGGUAGUCCACACCGUAAACGAUGAUUACUAGGUGUUGGAGGAUUGACCCCUUCAGUGCCGCAGUUAACACAAUAAGUAAUCCACCUGGGGAGUACGACC
rnacentral:rRNA from 1 species